AGAGUUUGAUCAUGGCUCAGAGUGAACGCUGGCGGCAGGCCUAACACAUGCAAGUCGAACGGCAGCACAGGAGAGCUUGCUCUCUGGGUGGCGAGUGGCGGACGGGUGAGGAAUAUAUCGGAAUCUACCCUUUCGUGGGGGAUAACGUAGGGAAACUUACGCUAAUACCGCAUACGAACUGAGGUUGAAAGCGGCGGACCGCAAGGCGUCGCGCGGAUGGAUGAGCCGAUAUCCGAUUAGCUAGUUGGCGGGGUAAAGGCCCACCAAGGCGACGAUCGGUAGCUGGUCUGAGAGGAUGAUCAGCCACACUGGAACUGAGACACGGUCCAGACUCCUACGGGAGGCAGCAGUGGGGAAUAUUGGACAAUGGGCGCAAGCCUGAUCCAGCCAUGCCGCGUGUGUGAAGAAGGCCUUCGGGUUGUAAAGCACUUUUGUUGGGAAAGAAAAGCGGUCGGUUAAUACCCGGUCGUUCUGACGGUACCCAAAGAAUAAGCACCGGCUAACUUCGUGCCAGCAGCCGCGGUAAUACGAAGGGUGCAAGCGUUACUCGGAAUUACUGGGCGUAAAGCGUGCGUAGGUGGUUUGUUAAGUCAGAUGUGAAAGCCCCGGGCUCAACCUGGGAAUUGCAUUUGAUACUGGCAGACUAGAGUGCGGUAGAGGAGAGUGGAAUUCCCGGUGUAGCAGUGAAAUGCGUAGAGAUCGGGAGGAACAUCAGUUGCGAAGGCGGCUCUCUGGACCAGCACUGACACUGAGGCACGAAAGCGUGGGGGAGCAAACAGGAUUAGAUACCCUGGUAGUCCACGCCCUAAACGAUGCGAACUGGACGUUGGGUGCAAUUGAGCAUUCAGU
rnacentral:rRNA from 1 species